UACGUAGGGGGCUAGCGUUGUCCGGAAUCAUUGGGCGUAAAGAGCGUGUAGGCGGUCCGGUCAGUCGGUUGUGAAAGUCAAGGGCUCAACCCUUGAAUGCCGGCCGAUACUGCCGGGCUAGAGUCCGGAAGAGGUGAGUGGAAUUCCUGGUGUAGCGGUGAAAUGCGCAGAUAUCAGGAGGAACACCGAUGGCGAAGGCAGCUCACUGGGACGGUACUGACGCUGAGACGCGAAAGCGUGGGGAGCGAACAGG
rnacentral:rRNA from 1 species